rnacentral:rRNA from 1 species
AUUGAACGCUGGCGGCAGGCCUAACACAUGCAAGUCGAACGGUAACAGGAAACAGCUUGCUGUUUCGCUGACGAGUGGCGGACGGGUGAGUAAUGUCUGGGAAACUGCCUGAUGGGGGGGGAUAACUACUGGAAACGGUAGCUAAUACCGCAUAACGUCGCAAGACCAAAGAGGGGGACCCUCGGGCCUCUUGCCAUCGGAUGUGCCCAGAUGGGAUUAGCUUGUUGGUGGGGUAACGGCUCACCAAGGCGACGAUCCCUAGCUGGUCUGAGAGGAUGACCAGCCACACUGGAACUGAGACACGGUCCAGACUCCUACGGGAGGCAGCAGUGGGGAAUAUUGCACAAUGGGCGCAAGCCUGAUGCAGCCAUGCCGCGUGUAUGAAGAAGGCCUUCGGGUUGUAAAGUACUUUCAGCGGGGAGGAAGGGAGUAAAGUUAAUACCUUUGCUCAUUGACGUUACCCGCAGAAGAAGCACCGGCUAACUCCGUG